rnacentral:sRNA from 1 species
UCCUGCGGGAGGUCGGCUAAAAACGGUCACGUCCUGUGACCAACGCCGCACGCUAACGUCCUGUGCG